rnacentral:lncRNA from 10 species
CAGGAAACAACUCUUUUCUUCACGUAGAUAUUGGGGGCUGUGGCAACUCCCAUGGGACUACUACACAGGGGCAAAUCUGAAGACCGAGUCAAUGAUCUGAGGAUGCUAGUGUAGAAGCAGCCUGGCUCCUGAUGGCAUUGCAUUGCAUGACUAAACCAAUCUUGGAAAUAGCUACUUCCUGACUUUUCAUUAUGUUCAAUAAGAAAAUUGUCCUUCAUAUCUCACAGUGCAGUUAAUUAUAGCUUCGCCUCUCCAAAGACGUGACUGCAUGGUGGGUGGAGAGCCAGCACACUGGACCCAGCUGAUUCUAAGGAGCAGAGUGGAUGGCCCAUUAUACUCAGAACCCUUGGCAUCCAAAUUGUCAGCAACUCAUCAGCUAGUGUUUCUUCCUUGAAGGGCGAAGUCUCAAUCCUCAAAUGUUCUAGGAGGUGAGUAGAAAUUUUUGCCUUCCAUCGUUUUAAUGUAGCAAAGCAAAAAACAGCUGAAAAGGGUAGUUCACGAAACUAUCAUAGCAUCUUAG